GACGAACGCUGGCGGCGUGCUUAACACAUGCAAGUCGAACGGAAAGGCCCUGCUUUUGUGGGGUGCUCGAGUGGCGAACGGGUGAGUAACACGUGAGUAACCUGCCCUUGACUUUGGGAUAACUUCAGGAAACUGGGGCUAAUACCGGAUAGGAGCUCCUGCUGCAUGGUGGGGGUUGGAAAGUUUCGGCGGUUGGGGAUGGACUCGCGGCUUAUCAGCUUGUUGGUGGGGUAGUGGCUUACCAAGGCUUUGACGGGUAGCCGGCCUGAGAGGGUGGCCGGCCACAUUGGGACUGAGAUACGGCCCAGACUCCUACGGGAGGCAGCAGUGGGGAAUAUUGCACAAUGGGCGGAAGCCUGAUGCAGCAACGCCGCGUGCGGGAUGACGGCCUUCGGGUUGUAAACCGCUUUCGCCUGUGACGAAGCGUGAGUGACGGUAAUGGGUAAGGAAGCACCGGCUAACUACGUG
rnacentral:rRNA from 1 species